AUGAAAAUGCAUCCUUCUGAAAAACGUCAUGUUUGUGAAGUGUGCGAAAAACGCUUUACACGAAUUGCUGAUUUAAAAACACACAUUAGAAUACAUACUGCGGAAAAACCUUACAUUUGUGAAAUAUGUAGAAAAGGUUUUUCUCAAAUUAGUAGUUUAAAAUCUCAUAUUAGAAUACAUACUGGAGAAAAACCGUACAUUUGUGAAGUGUGUAGAAAAGGUUUUACCCACAUUCAUCAUUUAAAAUCUCAUCUAAGAAUACACACUGGAGACAAACCGUACAUUUGUGAACUGUGUCAGAAGUGCUAUGCACGAAUUGAUACUUUGAAAAAACACAAGAGAACACAUACUGCAGAGAAACCUUAUGUUUGUGAAGUGUGCGAAAGACGCUUUACACAAAUUGGUGAAUUAAAAACACACAUUAGAAUACAUACUGCGGAAAAACCUUACAUUUGUGAAGUAUGUAGAAAAGGUUUUGCCCAAAUUGGUAAUUUAAAAUCUCAUAUAAGGAUACACACUGGAGAAAAACCGCACAUUUGUGAAGUGUGUAGAAAAGGUUUUACCCAAAUUAGUCAAUUAAAAUCCCAUCUAAGAAUACACACUGGAGAAAAACCGCACAUUUGUGAAGUGUGUAGAAAAGGUUUUGCCCAAAUUACUCAUUUAAAAUCUCAUCUAAGAAUACACACUGGAGAAAAACCAUAUAUUUGUGAAGUGUGUCAGAAGUGCUAUGCACGAAUUGAUACUUUGAAAAUACACAAGAGAACACAUACUGCAGAGAAACCUUAUGUUUGUGAAGUGUGUGAAAAAAGCUUUUCGCGAAUGAGUAAUUUAAAUAUCCACAUAGCAACACAUUCGGCAGAGAAAUCUUAUGUUUGUGAUAUGUGUAAAAAAUCUUUUGCACAGAUGAGUUGUUUAAAAAAACAUAUAUGUAAAACACACUGCUGAAAAACUUUGUUUGUGAUGUGUGAUAAAAAGACUGCAUAAUGUCAUUGUUAAAAAAUGCAGAUGAUAACACAUAAAGCAGAAAAAUAUUUCAUAAUUUGUGAAUCACAAAUUUGUCAUCUAUGAACACACAUGAGAAUAGAUACAGAAGACAAACCUUCUGCUUGACAAGUUUGUACAUAAGGUUUUACGGUUUUACACAUAUCAGUCAUUUAAAAACACACAAAGAUACCUACUAGAGAAGACUCCUUAUUAUUGUGAAUUAUGUGGAAAAGGUUUUUCAGUGUUGGUAAUUUUAAUUCACAUAUGAAAAUGCAUAUUUGAGAAAAACAGUAUGCCUGUGUGAAGUGUAACAAAGCAUUUGCACAAAUUGAUAGUUUAAUAAUGUAUCUGAGAAUAUAUAAUAUCAUAAAAUGCCUGAUCUUUCCGAGAAUUUCUAGUGUAUCCUCAUGUGGAGCGGUCAUCCUCAGGUCAAGAUUUUCAGGUAUUGGUUUCCAAAGACAAAUAUCCAAAUUUGAAGAAAAUGUUUUGAACAACUGCUUUCGUUACUGCCAUCUACAGGAGCAAUGAGAAACUAAUCGAAUCGAAGCCAUCUAGUAGCCGACGCCCGUAAACAUUUAUGUUGAGUGCUUGAGUUGCUUAAUUAGAACUAAUUUAUGUGUAUUAACUAUGAAAUAGAUUCUAAGAUUAAACUUCACUUUUAUGUUAAUAAUUUUAAUAGAACAAAUUAGAGUACAUAUAUGUACGCUGAACUAUAAUGUUUCAUUAAAAUUCAAGAAAUAUUUUUGAUA
rnacentral:misc_RNA from 1 species